CCUACGGGAGGCAGCAGUGGGGAAUAUUGGACAAUGGGGGGAACCCUGAUCCAGCGACGCCGCGUGAGUGAAGAAGUCUUUCGGUAUGUAAAGCUCUAUCAGCAGGGAAGAAAGAAAUGACGGUACCUGACUACGAAGCCCCGGCUACAUACGUGCCAGCAGCCGCGGUAAUACGUAGGGGGCAAGCGUUAUCCGGAUUUACUGGGUGUAAAGGGAGCGUAGACGGCGAUGCAAGUCUGAAGUGAAAGGCGGGGGCCCAACCCCUGGACUGCUUUGGAAACUGUAUGGCUGGAGUGCAGGAGAGGUAAGUGGAAUGCCUAGUGUAGCGGUGAAAUGCGUAGAUAUUAGGAGGAACACCAGUGGCGAAGGCGGCUUACUGGACUGUAACUGACGUUGAGGCUCGAAAGCGUGGGGAGCAAACAGGAUUGGAUACCCGAGUAGUC
rnacentral:rRNA from 1 species